ensembl:misc_RNA Metazoa_SRP Metazoan signal recognition particle RNA
GCUGGGCAUGGUGGUGCUUGCCUGUAAUCCCAGCUACUCAGGAGGCUGAGGCAGGAGAAUCACUUGAACCCAGGAGGUGGAGGCUACAGUGAGCUGAGAUCACGCCACUGCACUCCAGCCUGGGCAACAGAGUGAGACUCUGUCUCAA